GGACUGAUAGCUCAGUGGAUAGAGCACCCGCCUUCUAAGCGGGCGGUCGAAGGUUCGAGUCCUUCUCAGUCCG
rnacentral:tRNA from 1 species